GGACUCAAUCCCGGUUCUCCAGGAUCAGGCCCUGGGCUGAAGGCGGCACUAAACAGCUGAGCCACCCGGGCCGCCCACAUGCUGCACUUUUUUUAGGCUAGACAAUUUGAUUCAUAAUUUUAUAUAAAUGAAUAGCAUUAGUCCAGCAAAAUAAUGUCUUUGUUUAUAUAAGGCAAAUGAGAAGAUAAUUGUAGCAUAAGAAUGAGGACCUUAAAAUUUAACUAACAUUUUUAUCUUAUAUUAUUUUUAUUUUAAAGAGUAUUUAUUUGAGAGAGAAAGAAAGUGGGUGAGAGACAGUAGAAGCUGGGAGAAGGGCAGAGGGAGAGAGAGAAGUAGACUCCAUGCUGAGCAGGGAGCUCAAUGUGGGGCUCAGUUCCAGGACCAUGGGAUCAUGACCUAACCCAAAGGCAGACACUUAACUGACUGAACCACCCAGGCGUCCCUCCAAGGCACAUUUUUAAAGCAUUUUCAGGACAAGAACUAAACAAUUAUAUAUGGAUGGAGCAAGAAGUAUGUGGUACAUAAACGAGACAUAUUCUUUUGGUAGGAGAGAGGUGAGAUGGCUACACAGCACAGAGAACAUAGGAGAUGAGCAAAGAUACAUAAAGGGGGGCUCUGUCUGACAUAAUACAGGGCAAUUAUCCACAUAACUCAGAAGCAAUGAGGCUUUAACAAAGACUCUCCCUACUUUAGCAGCUGACAUGGUACAUGAGUGAACCAACAAGUGAAUGCAUCAAAACAGUAUGAAAUUAAAAUAAAGCAAAUAGAAAGUGGCCUGGCCCUAAUGUCUAAGUAACCAGACACAACUGGAGUCACAUGUACUUUCAGAAUCUGUGAUAAGAGGACUUUAAUUCCUAUAGAAAUAUGCUUUUCACUUGAAAUUAUUUCAUGUCUAAGAUAUUUUCAUAAGUUAUUUCAUUAAACGCUUUGUUUAUGUGCCUGUCACUCUACCAGGGAUGGUGAGGGGUUGAGAAUGUGUAAUCAUUAGGGUUUCUGUCCUCAAUGAGCUUACUUUCUCAUUAAGAAGAUAGACAUAUAUAAAACCACCAUAAACACACAACAGCAUGCAAUUAGGUGAUCAAUCAAUGAUUCAGACUAUAAAUGCUUUUGAUGCUGAGAGGAAAAAGAAAGCCACAGAAAUAAAGGAAGUUUCCUUGAAGGAUGUGGCAUCUGAUCAAAUCCUUGAAAGAUGGGUGGUAUUUAAGGGCUAGAAGAUAAACCGGAGAUGUAAUCUUCACUUUAACACUUACAUGCUGUGUGUCCUUAGGCAAGCUAUUCAAAGCUUCUGAGCCUCUUUCUCAUUCAUAUGAUAGGGAAGAUAAUGUCUAACUCUAGAGUAUGUUGUGAAGAUUCAAUAAAUAUGCAAAGAAGAUGAUAAAGAACCUAACACAAGGUAGAUAUAUUAGUAAAUUUAACUAUAAUUUUAACUAUAGUUAAAUUUUAACUAUAAUCAUAAAUGAUCUUAAUGUAGUUGUGCCUCUUUUUCUGAGCGAUUUCAAAUGACCUUUGGUGGAAGCAAAUUGGCACAGAUAUGAGUAGGUAAAAGUGGAAGGUAUGCAUCCAUUUAGAAAGUCAGGAGAAAAAUGUAGAGAUGAUCAUGCAUGUUUCAGGGGAACUCUAUCUUAGUAGAGCAGCAGGUUUAUGUAGGAAAAAACAUUGUGUAGAUAGGGUAAGUCAUUCAUUCAUUCAGCAUGAUUUGUUGAUCAACUACCAGGCACUAAACUAAGUGUGAGAGUUGAAUAAAGGUAAGCUUUGAAAGCAAACAUUACAAUUUGGCUUAAUAUGGUAGAAAACAGGGUGUUAUUUAUUUAGCCAUCUAUUAUACAAGGGAGAGACAUGCAAUAAAAAUAGAGUUAAAGA
rnacentral:lncRNA from 1 species